GGGUGCGAUCACACAAGGACUAAUGCAUCGGAUCCCAUCAGAACUCCGCAGCUAAGCUUGCUUGGGUGAGAGUAGUACUAGGAUGGGUGACCUUCUGGGAAGUCCUCAUGUUGCAUCCU